UUUGGAAAACCAGGCAAAUGUUGUGUGCAAUGUAGAAGUUGUGAGGCAAGCAUAAAAUGUGAAGACUGCUUUCAUUUUUUGUGUCAUAAAUGUGAUCAGCAGCAGCAUUUUGUAAUGCCUUUCCACCAGCGAUUCUGCUGGAAAAAUGGGUUCUUCGAGCCUUUAGACCCAACACAAACUGUGUGUUCAGAUGGGAAUGUCAUUCACUGGAAGCCUGUUGUACCAGCACAUCCACCUAAUUCCUGCCCGAACUGCAGUGAGAGCAAGUUCACAACUUUAAGCUCCAAUAAUUUGUACAUCUUUGUAACUUUAAGUGGUGCAAGUGCGGAUAUGUAGAUGAAGAACUUGGGAAAGCCAUGCACCAGUCUGGUUUUUAUUCAACUGGAAGAAAUAGUAGCACUUUCUACAGCAUAAAUCUAUUGGAUUCCUGGCAUUUUCUCAAGAGAAGCAGCCCUGGAACUUCUCUUCAGGCAUUAGUUAGUGCACUGGAAUUAUUUG